ACGUUCGGGUAAUCGCUGUAGCUCUGCUGCAGAGGAAAGUCCAUGCUCGCACGGGCUGAGAUGCCCGUAGUGUUCGUGCCUGGCCAAUUCAUAAGCCAGGGCAGUCGUGUUUAGCAUGGCUGACGGCAGGGAAAGUGCCUAAGUCGAUUUCGAUAUGGCAUUAAUACCUAUAAAAGUGCCACAGUGACGUAGCCUUCUCAGAAAUGGGAAGGGUGGAACGAGGUAAACCCCGCGAGCGAGAAACCCAAACUAUGGUAGGGGCACUUUCUCGGAGGAAUUGAACGAAGAGAAGGACAGGUGAGUAUUCACCUGUAGAUAGAUGAUUACCACCGGAGUGCGAGACAUUGUCGUUUGCAGCACAAAGGAACAAAACAUGGCUUACAGGA
rnacentral:RNase_P_RNA from 1 species